CCUACGGGAGGCAGCAGUGAGGAAUAUUGGUCAAUGGGCGGAAGCCUGAACCAGCCAAGUAGCGUGCAGGAUGACGGCCCUACGGGUUGUAAACUGCUUUUAUACGGGAAUAACGCGCCUUACGUGUAGGGCUUUGCAUGUAACGUAUGAAUAAGGACCGGCUAAUUCCGUGCCAGCAGCCGCGGUAAUACGGAAGGUCCGGGCGUUAUCCGGAUUUAUUGGGUUUAAAGGGCGCGUAGGCCGGAUGUCAAGCGUGCUGUGAAAUGUCCGGGCUCAACCCGGGCCUUGCAGCGCGAACUGGCGUGCUUGAGUCCGCGGAAGGCAGGCGGAAUGCGUCGUGUAGCGGUGAAAUGCUUAGAUAUGACGAAGAACCCCGAUUGCGAAGGCAGCUUGCUGCAGCGGAACUGACGCUGAUGCUCGAAAGCGCGGGGAUCGAACAGGAUUAGAUACCCGGGUAGUC
rnacentral:rRNA from 1 species